GACGAACGCUGGCGGCGUGCUUAACACAUGCAAGUCGAACGGAAAGGCCCUGCUUUUGUGGGGUGCUCGAGUGGCGAACGGGUGAGUAACACGUGAGUAACCUGCCCUUGACUUUGGGAUAACUUCAGGAAACUGGGGCUAAUACCGGAUAGGAGCUCCUGCUGCAUGGUGGGGGUUGGAAAGUUUCGGCGGUUGGGGAUGGACUCGCGGCUUAUCAGCUUGUUGGUGGGGUAGUGGCUUACCAAGGCUUUGACGGGUAGCCGGCCUGAGAGGGUGACCGGCCACAUUGGGACUGAGAGACGGCCCAGACGCCUACGGGAGGCAGCAGGGGGGAAUAUUGCACAAUGGGCGGAAGCCUGAUGCAGAAACGCCGCGUGCGGGAUGACGGCCUUCGGGUUGUAAACCGCUUUAGCCUGUGACGAAGCGUGAGUGACGGUAAUGGGUAAAGAAGCACCGGCUAACUACGUG
rnacentral:rRNA from 1 species